UACGAAGGGUGCAAACGUUGCUCGGAAUCAUUGGGCGUAAAGCGCACGUAGGCGGCGCAGUAAGUCGGAUGUGAAAUCCCCCGGCUCAACCGAGGACGUGCAUCCGAAACUACUGUGCUCGAGUAUGGAAGAGGGUCGCGGAAUUCUCGGUGUAGAGGUGAAAUUCGUAGAUAUCGGGAGGAACACCAGUGGCGAAGGCGGCGACCUGGGCCAAUACUGACGCUGAGGUGCGAAAGCGUGGGGAGCAAACAGG
rnacentral:rRNA from 1 species